AUUGAACGCUGGCGGCAGGCCUAACACAUGCAAGUCGAGCGGAUGAAGGGAGCUUGCUCCUGGAUUCAGCGGCGGACGGGUGAGUAAUGCCUAGGAAUCUGCCUGGUAGUGGGGGAUAACGUCCGGAAACGGGCGCUAAUACCGCAUACGUCCUGAGGGAGAAAGUGGGGGAUCUUCGGACCUCACGCUAUCAGAUGAGCCUAGGUCGGAUUAGCUAGUUGGUGGGGUAAAGGCCUACCAAGCGACGAUCCGUAACUGGUCUGAGAGGAUGAUCAGUCACACUGGAACUGAGACACGGUCCAGACUCCUACGGGAGGCAGCAGUGGGGAAUAUUGGACAAUGGGCGAAAGCCUGAUCCAGCCAUGCCGCGUGUGUGAAGAAGGUCUUCGGAUUGUAAAGCACUUUAAGUUGGGAGGAAGGGCAGUAAGUUAAUACCUUGCUGUUUUGACGUUACCAACAGAAUAAGCACCGGCUAACUUCGUG
rnacentral:rRNA from 1 species